UACGCGGGGGGCAAGCGUUGUUCGGAAUUAUUGGGCGUAAAGGGCGCGUAGGCGUUUUGGCAAGUCUAGUGUGAAAUCUUCGGGCUCAACUCGAAGUCUGCACUGGAAACUGCCGGGCUUGAGUAUGGGAGAGGUGAGUGGAAUUUCCGGUGUAGCGGUGAAAUGCGUAGAUAUCGGAAGGAACACCUGUGGCGAAAGCGGCUCACUGGACCAUAACUGACGCUGAGGCGCGAAAGCUAGGGGAGCAAACAGG
rnacentral:rRNA from 1 species